GACAUUUGGUAGAGACUGUUGAAGCCACCUGGUCCCAGCAGACCCCAGAAGGCAGCCACAUUCGCUGGUGCUGGGGCAAGAUUGUUGAGGGUGAAGCCCGGUGUCAGAUGUGU
rnacentral:rRNA from 1 species